ACAACACAAAAUGACUAGCAUUCACAAUUAUAGGUACUUAGGGUGCAAUACCGUCUUUCCCCAAACAACACCAAAUGACUAGCAUUCACAAUUAUAGGUACUUAGGGUGCAAUACCGUCUUUCCCCAAACAACACCAAAUGACUAGCAUUCACAAUUAUAGGUACUUAGGGUGCAAUACCGUCUUUCCCCAAACAACACCAAAUGACUAGCAUUCACAAUUAUAGGUACUUAGGGUGCAAUACCGUCUUUCCCCAAACAACACAAAAUGACUAGCAUUCACAAUUAUAGGUACUUAGGGUGCAAUACCGUCUUUCCCCAAACAACACCAAAUGACUAGCAUUCACAAUUAUAGGUACUUAGGGUGCAAUACCGUCUUUCCCCAAACAACACAUAAUGACUAGCAUUCACAAUUAUAGGUACUUAGGGUGCAAUACCGUCUUUCCCCAAACAACACAAAAUGACUAGCAUUCACAAUUAUAGGUACUUAGGGUGCAAUACCGUCUUUCCCCAAACAACACAGAAUGACUAGCAUUCACAAUUAUAGGUACUUAGGGUGCAAUACCGUCUUUCCCCAAACAACACAGAAUGACUAGCAUUCACAAUUAUAGGUACUUAGGGUGCAAUACCGUCUUUCCCAAACAACACAGAAUGACUAGCAUUCACAAUUAUAGGUACUUAGGGUGCAAUACCGUCUUUCCCCAAACAACACAGAAUGACUAGCAUUCACAAUUAUAGGUACUUAGGGUGCAAUACCGUCUUUCCCCAAACAACACAGAAUGACUAGCAUUCACAAUUAUAGGUACUUAGGGUGCAAUACCGUCUUUCCCCAAACAACACUGAAUGACUAGCAUUCACAAUUAUAGGUACUUAGGGUGCAAUACCGUCUUUCCCCAAACAACACAAAAUGACUAGCAUUCACAAUUAUAGGUACUUAGGGUGCAAUACCGUCUUUCCCCAAACAACACAGAAUGACUAGCAUUCACAAUUAUAGGUACUUAGGGUGCAAUACCGUCUUUCCCCAAACAACACUGAAUGACUAGCAUUCACAAUUAUAGG